UUUUAAUCCAUUUACAUUUAAGGUAAUUAUUGAUCGCUAAAGACUUACUGUUGUCAUUUGUUAGUUAUUUUCUUCCUUUUUUUAAUUCUUUAGCC